AAAGGAAUUGACGGGGGCCCGCACAAGCGGAGGAACAUGUGGUUUAAUUCGAUGAUACGCGAGGAACCUUACCCGGGCUUGAAAUGGAGUGGAAUAACGUUGAAAGAUGUUAGUCAGCAAUGACCACUUUGUAGGUGCUGCAUGGUUGUCGUCAGCUCGUGCCGUGAGGUGUCGGCUUAAGUGCCAUAACGAGCGCAACCCUUAUCAUUAGUUACCAGCGGGUAAUGCCGGGAACUCUAAUGAGACUGCCACCGUAAGGUGCGAGGAAGGUGGGGAUGACGUCAAAUCAGCACGGCCCUUACGUCCGGGGCGACACACGUGUUACAAUGGGGGGUACAGAGGGUUGCUACCACGCGAGUGGAUGCUAAUCUCAUAAAUCCUCUCUCAGUUCGGAUCGGAGUCUGCAACUCGACUUCGUGAAGCUGGAUUCGCUAGUAAUCGCGCAUCAGCCAUGGCGCGGUGAAUACGUUCCCGGGCCUUGUACACACCGCCCGU
rnacentral:rRNA from 1 species